UACUGAAUUUUUUAUUACCCCUCGUUAACGACUUCACCCUCGUGUUUGCAUUUAUCUCGUGGAAUCCACGAGUAAAAAGAUAAUAAAUGUGAAUAUUCUUUGAAGGAUUUUUCAUUUGGAAUGGAUGGUUUUUUUUUUUUGGUGUAGACUAAUGCAGUUUUUUGCUGUGAUCAGGCAAAUUCAGUCAGCUCGGGAGAGAGUUGGAAUUUUUCUGGAAAGCACAAAGCAGUUGAUGAUUAAUUCAGGUUGCACUCGGGAAAAAUCUGGAGGGAGUGAUGUAAAAAAUUGAGGGGUAGAAUCGCCUGGGAGAUGGGGAGGGCACUGAGGCACUCUCUUUGACACAACGGUUGACGAGGUUAUGGUACCAUGAGAGGAGGGACCGAGGGAAAAAAAAUACUCAGCCAAAAAAAUUAUGUCUUCGUCGGGGGAAUGAAUAAGAUAAAUGAUUUUCCGGUGACCGAAUUCCUAAUUGGAUUUUUUUUUAACACAUAAAGCGGGAAAAUUGUGCGUUUAGUCGGGGAUAAGUGAAGAACUGAGGGAUGACGGAACAUACGAUGUUUUGCCACCCCCUAGUGACGUUGGGCCCGAAAUAAGGACCUGAGAGGAUGAAGGGAUAGAGCAUGAGGACAAGAGGGGCAUUGGGACCUUGACCUUCGGACUGGGCAGUCCUUCAAUCAUCUUCGAACCUCAUCCAUUAUUUUCCCGACACUUUUGUCACGUGAU